rnacentral:rRNA from 1 species
GACGAACGCUGGCGGCGUGCCUAAUACAUGCAAGUCGAGCGAAGUCUUUCUGGUGCUUGCACUAGAAAAACUUAGCGGCGAACGGGUGAGUAACACGUAAAGAACCUGCCUCAUAGACUGGGACAACUAUUGGAAACGAUAGCUAAUACCGGAUAACAGCAUUUCUCGCAUGAGAGAUAUUUAACAGUUGGUUAUGCUAACACUAUGAGAUGGCUUUGCGUUGCAUUAGCUAGUUGGUGGGGUAAAGGCCCACCAAGGCGACGAUGCAUAGCCAACCUGAGAGGGUGAUCAGCCACACUGGGACUGAGACACGGCCCAGACUCCUACGGGAGGCAGCAGUAGGGAAUCUUCCACAAUGGGCGAAAGCCUGACGGAGCAACGCCGCGUGAGUGAAGACGGAUUUCGGUUCGUAAAGCUCUGUUGUUAGGAAAGAAUGGAUAUGGAGUAACAAUACGUGUAAGAGACGGUACCUAAACAGAAAGCAACGGCUAACUACGUG